rnacentral:rRNA from 1 species
UGGUGGAGUGAUUUGUCUGGUUAAUUCCGAUAACGAACGAGACCUUAACCUGCUAAAUAGCCAGACCGUCUUCCGAUGGUUGCGGGCUUCUUAGAGGGACUGUCAGGAUCUACCUGACGGAAGUUUGAGGCAAUAACA